AAUCCCCCGGCAGCCUAUGUCUAUUGCAGCAUAACUAAGGGAGGAUUCAGGGUCACCUGGUCCAGCCCUAACUAUAUGCUUUAGCAAAAAGGAAAGUUUUAAGCCUAAUCUUAAAAGUAGAGAUAGUGUCUGUCUCCUGAAUCCAAACUGGAAGCUGGUUCCACAGAAGAGGGGCCUGAAAACUGAAGGCUCUCCCUCCCAUUCUACUUUUAAAUACUCUAGGAACAACAAGUAGGCCUGCAGAGCGAGAGCGAAGUGCUCUAAUAGGGUGAUAUGGUACUACAAGGUCAUUAAGAUAAGAUGGGGCCUGAUUAUUUAAGACCUUGUAUGUGAGGAGCAGGAUUUUGAAUUCAAUUCUGGAUUUAACAGGAAGCCAAUGAUGGGAAGCCAAAACAGGAGAAAUAUGCUCUCUCUUUCUAGUCCCUGUCAGUACUCUUGCUGCAGCAUUUUGGAUUAGCUGAAGGCUUUUCAGUGAGUUUUUUGGACAUCCUGAUAAUAAUGAAUUACAGUAGUCCAGCCUGGAAGUAAUAAAUGCAUGAACUAGUUUUUCAGCGUCACUCUGAGACAGGAUAUUUCUCAUUUUAGAGAUGUUGCGCAAAUGGAAGAACGCAGUCUUACAUAUUUGUUUAAUAUGUGCACUGAAGGACAUGUCCUGGUCAAAAAUGACUCCAAGGUUCCUCACAGCGUUACUGGAGGCCAAGGUAAUGCCAUCCAGAGUAAGAAUCUGGUUAGAUACCAUAUUUCUAGGCUUUUCAGGGCCGAGUACAAUAACCUCAGUUUUAUCUGAAUUAAGAAGCAGAAAGUUAGCGGCCAUCCAGGUCUUUAUGUCUUUAAGACAUUCCUGCAGUUUAACUCAUUGGUGUGUGUUAUCUGGCUUCAUGGACAGAUAGAGCUGGGUGUCAUCUGCAUAGCAGUGAAAAUGUAUGCUAUGUCUUCUAAUGAUGCUGCCUAAGGGAAGCAUGUAUAAUGUAAACAGAAUUGGUCCUAGCACUGAACCUUGUGGAACUCCAUAAUUAACCUCAGUGUGUGAAGAGGACUCUCCAUUUACAUGAACAAAUUGGAGUCUAUUAGAUAGAUAUGAUACAAACCACUGCAGUGCAGUACCUGUAAUACCUACAGCAUGUUCGAAUCGCUCUAAUAGGAUAUUAUGGUCGACAGUAUCGAAUGCUGCACUAAGGUCUAGCAGGACAAGCACAGAGAUGAGUCCACUCUCAGAGGCCAUAAGAAGAUCAUUUGUAACCUUCACUAAAGCUGUUUCUGUGUUGUGAUGAGCUCUGAAACCUGACUGAAACUCUUCAAAUAAACCAUUCCUCUGCAGAUGAUCUGUUAGCUGUUUGACAACUACUCUUUCAAGGAUUUUUGAUAUGAAAGGAAGGUUGGAGAUUGGCCUAUAAUUAGCUAAGACUGCUGGGUCUAGACAUGGCUUUUUGAGUAAAGGUUUAACUACAGCUAGCUUGAAGGCCUGUGGUACAUAGCCGAUCAUUAGAGAUAGGUUGAUCAUAUUUAAGAUCGAAGAAUUAAUUAAUGGCAGGACUUCUUUGAGCAGUUUUGUAGGAAUGGGGUCUAAAAGACACGUUGAUGGUUUGGAGGAAGUAAUUAUUGAAACUAACUCAGAAAGAUCAAUUGGAGAAAAAGAGUCUAACUUAACAUCGAUGGUACUAAGAGUAGCUGUAGAUAAUAUUACAUCUGUGGGAUG
ensembl:lncRNA